ACGAACGCUGGCGGCAGGCUUAACACAUGCAAGUCGAACGGUCUCUUCGGAGGCAGUGGCAGACGGGUGAGUAAUGCAUGGGAAUCUACCGUUCUCUACGGAAUAACUCAGGGAAACUUGUGCUAAUACCGUAUACGCCCUUUUGGGGAAAGAUUUAUCGGAGAAUGAUGAGCCCAUGUUGGAUUAGCUAGUUGGUAGGGUAAAGGCCUACCAAGGCGACGAUCCAUAGCUGGUCUGAGAGGAUGAUCAGCCACACUGGGACUGAGACACGGCCCAGACUCCUACGGGAGGCAGCAGUGGGGAAUAUUGGACAAUGGGCGCAAGCCUGAUCCAGCCAUGCCGCGUGAGUGAUGAAGGCCCUAGGGUUGUAAAGCUCUUUCACCGGUGAAGAUAAUGACGGUAACCGGAGAAGAAGCCCCGGCUAACUUCGU
rnacentral:rRNA from 1 species